UACGGAGGGUGCAAGCGUUACCCGGAUUCACUGGGCGUAAAGGGCGUGUAGGCGGUGGCCCACGUCGGGUGUUAAAGCCCGCGGCUCAACCGCGGAAACGCACCCGAUACGGGGCCACUAGACGGCGGGAGAGGGGAGCGGAAUUCCCGGAGUAGCGGUGAAAUGCGUAGAUACCGGGAGGAACGCCGAUGGCGAAGGCAGCUCCCUGGACCGCCCGUGACGCUGAGGCGCGAAAGCGUGGGGAGCAAACCGGAUUAGAUACCCGGGUAGUCCACGCCCUAAACGUUGGGUGCUGGGUGUCGGGCCUCGGCUCGGCGCCGUAGCUAACGCGUUAAGCACCCCGCCUGGGAAGUACGGCCGCAAGGCUGAAACUCAAAGGAAUUGACGGGGACCCGCACAAGCGGUGGAGCGUGUGGUUUAAUUCGAAGCAACGCGAAGAACCUUACCAGGCCUUGACAUGCCGGGAACCCGCCCGAAAGGGUGGGGUGCCCCCUCCGGGGGAACCCGGACACAGGUGCUGCAUGGCCGUCGUCAGCUCGUGUCGUGAGAUGUUGGGUUAAGUCCCGCAACGAGCGCAACCCCCGUCCCUAGUUGCCAUCAGUCCGGCUGGGCACUCUAGGGAGACUGCCCGGGAAACCGGGAGGAAGGCGGGGAUGACGUCUGGUCAGCAUGGCCCUUACGGCCUGGGCUACACACGCGCUACAAUGGGCAGGACAAAGCGCCGCAACCCGGCAACGGGAAGCCAAUCGCUAAAACCUGCCCCCAGUUCGGAUUGGGGUCUGCAACUCGACCCCAUGAAGCCGGAAUCGCUAGUAAUCGCGGAUCAGCUACGCCGC
rnacentral:rRNA from 1 species